rnacentral:lncRNA from 1 species
CGAGCUACCCGUUAAUGCGCCGCCGAGCUUUCCGCGCUCGAGCCUCAGCGGCACCGCCAGGCUUUCGCGCUCGUGCCUCAGCGACACCGCCAGGCUUUCGCGCUCGAGCCUCAGCGGCACCGCCAGGCUUUCGCGCUCGUGCCUCAGCGGCACCGCCAGGCUUUCGCGCUCGUGCCUCAGCGGCACCGCCAGGCUUUCCCGCUCGUGCCUCAGCGGCACCGCCAGGCUUUCCCGCUCGUGCCUCAGCGGCACCGCCAGGCUUUCGCGCUCGUGCCUCAGCGGCACCGCCAGGCUUUCGCGCUCGUGCCUCAGCGGCACCGCCAGGCUUUCGCGCUCGUGCCUCAGCGGCACCGCCAGGCUUUCGCGCUCGUGCCUCAACGGCACCGCCAGGCUUUCGCGCUCGUGCCUCAGCGGCACCGCCAGGCUUUCCCGCUCAUGCCUUCGCGGCACCCGAGCUUCACGCUCACGCCUUCCCGGCACCACAAGCUUCCGCUCACGAGCUUUCCGCUCACGCCUUCGCGGCACCCACGAACUUCCCGCUCAUGCCUUCGCGGCACCCCGAGCUUCACGCUCACGCCUUCCCGGCACCACGAGCUUCCGCUCACGAGCUCACCGCUCACGCCUUCGCG